UCGCAGAUCAGAAUGCUGCGGUGAAUGCGUUCCCGGGUCUUGUACACACCGCCCGUCACACCAUGGGAGUCGGAAAUGCCCGAAGUCUGUGACCCAACCUUAGGGAGGGAGCAGCCGAAGGCAGGUCGGAUGACUGGGGUGAAGUCGUAACAAGGUAUC
rnacentral:rRNA from 1 species